GACGAACGCUGGCGGCGUGCUUAACACAUGCAAGUCGAACGGUAAGGCCCUUCGGGGUACACGAGUGGCGAACGGGUGAGUAACACGUGGGUGAUCUGCCCUGCACUUCGGGAUAAGCCUGGGAAACUGGGUCUAAUACCGGAUAGGACCACUGCCUGCAUGGGUGGUGGUGGAAAGCUUUUGCGGUGUGGGAUGGGCCCGCGGCCUAUCAGCUUGUUGGUGGGGUGAUGGCCUACCAAGGCGACGACGGGUAGCCGGCCUGAGAGGGUGACCGGCCACACUGGGACUGAGAUACGGCCCAGACUCCUACGGGAGGCAGCAGUGGGGAAUAUUGCACAAGGGGCGCAAGCCUGACGCAGCGACGCCGCGUGAGGGAUGACGGCCUUCGGGUUGUAAACCUCUUUCAGCACCGACGAAGCGCAAGUGACGGUAGGUGCAGAAGAAGGACCGGCCAACUACGUGCCAGCAGCCGCCGUAAGAC
rnacentral:rRNA from 1 species